CCUACGGGUGGCAGCAGUGAGGAAUAUUGGUCAAUGGACGAGAGUCUGAACCAGCCAAGUAGCGUGAAGGAUGACUGCCCUAUGGGUUGUAAACUUCUUUUAUAUGGGAAUAAAAUGUUCCACGUGUGGGAUUUUGUAUGUACCAUAUGAAUAAGGAUCGGCUAACUCCGUGCCAGCAGCCGCGGUAAUACGGAGGAUCCGAGCGUUAUCCGGAUUUAUUGGGUUUAAAGGAAGCGUAGGUGGAUUGUUAAGUCAGUUGUGAAAGUUUGCGGCUCAACCGUAGAAUUGCAGUUGAAACUGGCAGUCUUGAGUACAGUAGAGGUGGGCGGAAUUCGUGGUGUAGCGGUGAAAUGCGUAGAUAUCACGAAGAACUCCGGUUGCGAAGGCAGUUCACUGGACUGCAACUGACGCUGAGGCUCGAAAGUGUGGGUAUCAAACAGGAUUAGAUACCCGGGUAGUC
rnacentral:rRNA from 1 species